ACGUAGGGGGCAAGCGUUAACCGGAUUUAUUGGGCAUAAAGGGCGUGUAGGUGGUUUUAUUAGUCGGAUGUUAAAUCCCUUGGCUUACCCAAGGUUCGCAUCCGAAACUGUAAGACUAGAGAUCAGGAGAGGAAAGCGGAACUCACAGUGUAGCGGUGAAAUGCGUAGAUAUUGUGAGGAACACCAGUUGCGAAGGCGGCUUUCUGGACUGAUUCUGACACUGAGGCGCGAAAGCGUGGGGAGCGAACGGG
rnacentral:rRNA from 1 species